rnacentral:rRNA from 1 species
GGCGGUAAAUUUAUUUUUAGAGGAGCUUGCUUUUUAAUUGACUUUACUCCUUAAAUUUAACUUUGUAAAGUUUGUUUAUCUCCGUUAUUAGAAUAAAGUAUUUAUUUAUAUUUAAAAAUAUUAUUUCAGGUCAAGAUGCAGCAUUAUAAAGGUAUGGUGAGCUACAUUUUAGUAUAGUUAGAUUUAUUGAUUAAUUUAAUAAUGAAAAUGGAUUUAGAAGUAAUUUUUUUUAGAAUUAAAAGGUGAAUUUGUAUAAUUUAUGUACACAUC